rnacentral:rRNA from 1 species
UACGUAUGGUGCAAGCGUUAUCCGGAUUUACUGGGUGUAAAGGGGGCGCAGACGGCGAUGCAAGCCAGGAGUGAAAGCCCGGGGCCCAACCCCGGGACUGCUCUUGGAACUGCGUGGCUGGAGUGCCGGAGAGGUAGGCGGAAUUCCUAGUGUAGCGGUGAAAUGCGUAGAUAUUAGGAGGAACACCAGUGGCGAAGGCGGCCUACUGGACGGUGACUGACGCUGAGGCUCGAAAGCGUGGGGAGCAAACAGG